rnacentral:lncRNA from 10 species
CAGGUGUGAGCCUGUGUCCAGAUGUUUAUCGAGUGCCAGACAUGUUUCAGGUGCUGGGAAUACAGCAAUAAGCAAGACAGACAAAAAAAUCUGCCCACAUAAAGUUUACAAGAGGAAGAAUUUAUGAAAGAGGAAGAUACCCAAUGUAUUAGGUACAGGAUUUCUCCAUGUUGCCCAGGCUGGAUAUGAACUCGUGACUCAUGGGCUCAAGCAAUCCUCCUGCCUUGGCCUCUCAAAGUGCUGGGAUUACAGGUGUGAGCCACCGCACCUGGCUGCCACUUGGUUGUUUUAAACCUGAACUCAGUGGUGGCCCACACUUGACUACCAAGUGUGAUAUGUCAGAAAUUCCUUGUUUGUGGGCGGCAAGCCACCCAGGUGCCCAGGCAAGAGACUGAAGGCACAAGCUGUUCCAGUAUAAUAAAGAAAAUAAUUAAAUUAAGAAAAGUUAUACUAGAAAUAAGAUAUAGGUAUGAUUAUUAUUAAUCAUUAGUUUGUAGUAUUACUUUGUUCUAUUAUUAUAAUAAUCUCUGUUUUAUAAUUAUAACCUAGAAAAAACCAGGCCAUACAGAAUUAGGAGCUGAAGGGACACUGUGAGAGAUGACUAGAAGACAAGAGCGUGAGCCCUCUGUCAUGCCCAGAUAAGGGCUUCUUGAGAGAUCCUUGGUCUAGUGGUAGCGCCAGUGCCUGGGAAGGCACCCGUUGCUUAGCAGACCUUGGUCUAGCAGUAGUGCCAGUGCCUGGGAAGGCACCUGUUACUUAGCAGACUGGGAAAGGGAGUCUCCCUUUCUCUGGAAGAGUUAGAGAACACUCUGCUCCACCAGCUCUUGUGGGAGGCCAGGCCUGCCUGCAGUCAUCCGGAGGCUUAAACAUCUCCCUGUGGUGCUGUGCUUCAGUGGUCAUGCUCCUUGUCCACUUUCAUAUUCUGCCUGUACGCCUGGCUCCUCCUUUUAAGUUCUUAGAAGAUAGCAGUAGCAAAAUUAGUGAAAGUAUUAAAGUCUUUGAUCUUUCUGAUAAGUGCAUAGAAGAAAUGCUGAUGUAUGCUGCCUUUCCUCUCUCCCUCGGCUACCUGUCGGGUGGACACGUGACUUGCGUGACCUUAUCAAUCAUUUGAGAUGACUCAUACUCCUUACCCUGCCCCCUUGCCUAGAAUACAAUAAAUAGCAGCGUGUCC